GGCUCAGAGUGAACGCUGGCGGCGUGCCUAACACAUGCAAGUCGAGCGAAGUGGCAGCUGUAGCAAUACAGUAUGUGCUUAGCGGCAGACGGGUGAGUAACACGUAGACAACCUUCCUUCCAGAGGGGGAUAGCUCGCCGAAAGGCGAGGUAAUACCGCGUAAGAUCAACGGUCGGCAUCGAUUGUUGAUGAGACAUCCGCAAGGAUGGCUGGGAGACGGGUCUGCGGCCUAUCAGCUAGUUGGCGAGGUAACGGCUCACCAAGGCAACGACGGGUAUCCGGCCUGAAAGGGCGAACGGACACACUGACACUGAGACACGGGUCAGACUCCUACGGGAGGCAGCAGUGAGGAAUCUUGGACAAUAGGGGCAACCCUGAUCCAGCGACGCCGCGUGAAGGAUGAAGGUCUUCGGAUUGUAAACUUCUUUUGUCUGGGAAUAAAAAAUCCAUAGAAAUAUGGGUCUUGAAUGUACCAGGCGAAUAAGCCACGGCUAACUUCGUGCCAGCAGCCGCGGUAAUACGAAGGUGGCAAGCGUUACUCGGAAUUACUAGGCGUAAAGGGCAGGUAGGUGGUCUGAUAAGUCUGUUGUGAAAGCUCCCGGCUUAACUGGGAGAGGUCAACAGAAACUGUCAGGCUUGAGUAUAGGAGAGGGUACUGGAAUUCCCGGUGUAGCGGUGAAAUGCGCAGAUAUCGGGAGGAACACCAAUGGCGAAAGCAGGUACCUGGACUAUUACUGACACUCAGCUGCGAAAGCUAGGGGAGCAAACAGGAUUAGAUACCCUGGUAGUCCUAGCUGUAAACGAUGCACAUUAGGCGUGAGGGGUAUCGACCCCCUUCGUGCCGACGCAAACGCAUUAAAUGUGCCGCCUGGGGAGUACGGCCGCAAGGGUGAAACU
rnacentral:rRNA from 1 species